GAGAGAGGAAGAGAAGUGGCCACCGACGGGCACAGCAGCGGCGCCUCCAGCUUCCCCAUCCGUUUCAAGCGCCUGCAGCCUGGAGCUAUGUUGGGGAAGAACUUGUUCGCACAUCCGCGAAGGCUCUGGGACAUCAAGACGUCCGACGACCAUUGACCUGGACCUGGACACAGAACCACAGCGAGCCGAUCGAAGAAGCCGCGGCCACAUCGAGCCGAGUAGCUUAAACCAUGCAAUGCAAGAUGGGAUCGAAGAACCUUCAGCCGUUCAGCGAAUCAAUUGGGCUGACUGACUGAACUGUGCAGUCCCAAUUGUCAAAAGUUUGGUAGCCAACAGGGCUUCACAUUCAGUGUGUUUAACAGAGCUUGACUCUGAAAAUUCAGGUUCAGUGUUCUUGACAGCCUGCGUUGGACAGCUGAUUUUGAUAUGUGAUUCUACUUUGAAAAGCAGGGCCCUUUGCCUUCAA